rnacentral:misc_RNA from 1 species
UCUCCGUUGGUGAACCAGCGGAGGGAUCAUUAGAGGGUCGCGAGACCUCCCUAAUACCUUCAACCAACCCGCGUACCUACCCGAGGGGGCCCUAGCGGCCACAAACAUGAUGCCUCGGUCGGCGGCCCCAGGGGGGGCCUCUGCCUGCGCGCCUUCCGGGGCGCGUGGGUGCCGGCCGGCGGCCAAAAACAAAACCUGAACGUUAUAAUAACAAUUCUUUACAAACCAAAACCAUUACAACCUGCAACGAUGGAUCUCUUGGCUCUG